UAUAAGUACAAAUAAGUACAUGAAUAAGGAGUGUGACGGCGAGACCGUAGAGCGGUCGAUCGCGAGCAUCGAGCAGCUAAUCAUGAAUGGAAUAUAGCGCAGCAUUCGCAACUACGAGCUGUCACUGGUUACUACGGGCUGGCAAGGGCCGAUCGCAGAUUCACGGGCCAACGGUGAAAAGGUGUCACGUGCGCGUUAUCGCAAAUCACUGUUACUGCUGUGUGGAGGGGGCUCGGCCCGUUCAUUCGGCCCUUGCAGGACUCUGAAUUCCUGUAUCGAGAUUCCUUCCACUGCAUCCAUAAUUAUGGCCUGGUCCUUGGUAGGGAAUGAUUCUUUUUGUACCACAGGGACAUACGAGACAGUGGUAGGUUCUUUUUGACUUGGAUUGUCCAUUGUAUUAUCUUUUUAUUUUGGUUUGGAGCUCCUGUUAUCAGAAGCUCCUUUGCAUGUAUGCAAAGGGUAGCCAGGUGUCGGUCACCCAGAUAUGAGGUCGAAUGCUUCACACCGGUGCGGAAGAGUAAUUAUCUAUGUACUAGCUCACUAAACCUCGGUAACAGGACUCGUAAACACGUCUUACUUCAGCGACGGUUCAAACAGAACUCCCUGAAUAACAAUUAAUACACUUAAUCGUUCUUCAAGUGGAAUGGAUAAGCAAAAAGAGAGAUUGGGCUUACUCAUUCAUCCACAAGAGCACCUGCUCCGAGGAAGAUGAGUCACGGUUAGUGGGUCAGCGUACCGAUCCUUACCGCUUGCAGGUAGAAUCGGCCACAGAUGAUCUUCGGUUUAGGGAAGGAACCCCGCAAUGACAUUUACACUGCACGAUCACUGUCACUCUACACUUAAAAAUUUUAUCAAGAUUGUUGCUCCUGCGUCCUAUCAAUACACGUCUUCGAAAGGAGUUGAUUGACUUUUAUAGACGAACUUAACUUCACUACACCACUGUCACUUCCCACUUAAAAAUUUUCAAACACUUACACUGUUGCCCCUGCACUCUAACAUUAAACGUCCCAGAAAGUAACCGAAUGUUUUUCUGAGAGUGACAGUGAUCAUGCAGUGUAAAUGUCAUUGCGGGGUUUCUUUCCUGGAGCGUCGGACGAGACGCUAAGCAACACGUUUCCAAAAAACAUAGAAUACUUUACGGCUCAUAUUUUUUGUGUCUACCAAUUUAAUCUCAACGGGCCAGAAGGGUAUGUCAAUAGUCAUCCCAAAACGCUUGUUUUACGACCAAGUAAAUCCAAACACCAACAUCUGCUGACCAGAGGCCAUUUGGGCCUCAGGUAAAAAGGGCUCCUACGCGGGACCUCCGUCGGCCACGGUCACGACUCCCAGUUUUUUCCUCAUUGGAGGAAUAACAAGUAUGCAAUUUUGUCGCAUGCACUUCGGAGGAGAGGCACAGCCAAUCAAGAAGAACGAGAAACUAGAAGCCAGCAGACAGUUUUCUCUAGAGUCAGUCAGCUCCGACAAAGAGCCAAGGAACCAUCUCGUAAAAUAUUUUGUACACGAAGUUUUAGAAUAAAGUUAUCUUGUUAUCAUGUUA